UACGUAGGCAGCAAGCGUUGUUCGGAGUUACUGGGCGUAAAGGGUGUGUAGGCGGUUCUUUUUAAGUUUGGUGUGAAAUCUCCCGGCUCAACUGGGAGGGUGCGCCGAAUACUGAGGGACUAGAGUACGGGAGAGGAAAGUGGAAUUCCUGGUGUAGCGGUGAAAUGCGUAGAUAUCAGGAGGAACACCGGUGGUGUAGACGGCUUUCUGGACCGUAACUGACGCUGAGACACGAAAGCGUGGGUAGCAAACAGG
rnacentral:rRNA from 1 species